GAUGAACGCUGGCGGCGUGCCUAAUACAUGCAAGUCGAGCGAACGGACGAGAAGCUUGCUUCUCUGAUGUUAGCGGCGGACAGGUGAGUAACACGUGGAUAACCUACCUAUAAGACUGGGAUAACUUCGGGAAACCGGAGCUAAUACCGGAUAAUAUUUUGAACCGCAUGGUUCAAAAGUAAAAGACGGUCUUGCUGUCACUUAUAGAUGGAUCCGCGCUGCAUUAGCUAGUUGGUAAGGUAACGGCUUACCAAGGCAACGAUGCAUAGCCGACCUGAGAGGGUGAUCGGCCACACUGGAACUGAGACACGGUCCAGACUCCUACGGGAGGCAGCAGUAGGGAAUCUUCCGCAAUGGGCGAAAGCCUGACGGAGCAACGCCGCGUGAGUGAUGAAGGUCUUCGGAUCGUAAAACUCUGUUAUUAGGGAAGAACAUAUGUGUAAGUAACUGUGCACAUCUUGACGGUACCUAAUCAGAAAGCCACGGCUAACUACGUG
rnacentral:rRNA from 1 species